CGCGUAGGCGGCCUUCUAAGUCAGACGUGAAAUCCCCCGGCUUAACCUGGGAACUGCGUCGGAUACUGGAUGGCUUGAAUUCGGGAGAGGGAUGCAGAAUUCCAGGUGUAGCGGUGAAAUGCGUAGAUAUCUGGAGGAAUACCGGUGGCGAAGGCGGCAUCCUGGACCGACAUUGACGCUGAAUGGCGAAAGCUAGGGAGCAAACG
rnacentral:rRNA from 1 species